rnacentral:tRNA from 1 species
GUCAUGUUCGUCUAGUGGCUUAGGACACGGGGUUUUCAUCCCCGUAGACAGGGGUUCGAAUCCCCUACAUGACUCCA